UUAUUUUAGGCGCUCCUAUUUGGGCGCAUGGGGGCUGGGACUUAAGAUAGUUGCGAAUCUGUGUCAUUCCCAGGAUCCAAGUGACUGAACAAUUGCGCUAUGAAAAGAAAGCGAGAAGUGUCCAAAUAAGCUGUUAGUGUACAAAGUAUAAUAAUGAGAAAAGUCAGGUUGCACACAUAAAAAUCUCUCACUGACGCCCGGAGAGAGAAACACUUUAAAGGAUGAGGUCAUCCUGGUAAAAACGAAGCAACUGCGUUAGGUCUGUACAGACUGUAUCAGCUAUCUGUCACCCCCUGAGUGCAGUGCAUGUCCACGUAGACAGACAAAGGUUUAGGAGCUGUCAUGGCGUCGUGACUCAGCAGCCACUGACACCACAUGCCAGUACCAGCCUGGAUGAAGUAGUGGGAGGUUAUUCAUGUCUGUCCCUCACCUGAGCACCCCCGGACAGCUUCUCCAGCUCCGCCUU